ACUAUCUUUUAAAUAUUAUAUGAUAUUUCUUCUUUUUCUCUCUCUUGUUGACUACCACUAUUGACUAAAAUAAAUAAAAUAAAAUAAAAUGGAUAUUAUACUCUACUAUGUUCCCCCCGGUACCAUUGCUGCCAUUGUUUCUCCUGCUGAUCUCCUCAUUCCUCGCCAUCAAAAUUGUCGCUUGAAAGUUGAUCAACAAUUUCGAUUACCCGCCGGCUACUGGCUUUAGAACUGUUGAAGUUGGCCUACAUGCAGGAUAAGAAGCAGAAGAUCAAGCUGGAAGAUCAAGCUGUUGGAAUAUCUCCGGAUGAAGUACGUGCAGCUGUAAAGAAAAAGAUCAAACUGCUGUAUUAUUACCGGAUAAAGUAUGCAUACAACACAUGAAGCAGCCAAUGAGCUGACUAUGUAGCACAAGUUAUGCAGAUGAAGUAUAGAGAAGCAGAUCAAGCCAUACCUUCAGUAUAUGAAGUAUGCAUGCAGAUGCUGAAGCACAUUAUUGCUAUCAUAUUUCAUUCUGUUUAGUUACCUUAAAUAUUGUUUUGUAAUUUAGUUUGAUUUAAACUAAAUAGGUGACACAUUUUGAUGUAAUUAGGUGCUGAUAAAUUGAUAAAUCAGCUUGUCAAAGUGUACAAGUAAAGUUUUACAAGUUUCAAUGUUACUUAUUGGUAGUAGGUAGUUGUUUAGGUGAAAGUUGUUUAUGUUGACCAGUUGUAAUACUGGUAUAUGUAUUAGCUUUAAGCCUUCAUUCAAGUAAAUGAAAAUUCAUUAGAAUUUCAUCCAAAA